rnacentral:rRNA from 1 species
CACAGUACCGCAUGGUACAGGGGUAAAAACCCCGGUGGUAUGAGAUGGACCCGCGUCUGAUUAGGUAGUUGGUGGGGUAACGGCCUACCAAGCCGACGAUCAGUAGCCGACCUGAGAGGGUGACCGGCCACAUUGGGACUGAGACACGGCCCAAACUCCUACGGGAGGCAGCAGUGGGGAAUAUUGCACAAUGGGGGAAACCCUGAUGCAGCGACGCCGCGUGAGCGAUGAAGUAUUUCGGUAUGUAAAGCUCUAUCAGCAGGGAAGAAAAUGACGGUACCUGACUAAGAAGCACCGGCUAAAUACGUGCCAGCAGCCGCGGUAAUACGUAUGGUGCAAGCGUUAUCCGGAUUUACUGGGUGUAAAGGGAGCGUAGACGGAGUGGCAAGUCUGAUGUGAAAACCCGGGGCUCAACCCCGGGACUGCAUUGGAAACUGUCAAUCUAGAGUACCGGAGAGGUAAGCGGAAUUCCUAGUGUAGCGGUGAAAUGCGUAGAUAUUAGGAGGAACACCAGUGGCGAAGGCGGCUUACUGGACGGUAACUGACGUUGAGGCUCGAAAGCGUGGGGAGCAAACAGGAUUAGAUACCCUGGUAGUCCACGCCGUAAACGAUGACUACUAGGUGUCGGGCAGCAAAGCUGU